UACGGGGGGGGCAAGCGUUGUUCGGAAUUACUGGGCGUAAAGGGCUCGUAGGCGGCCAACUAAGUCAUACGUGAAAUCCCUCGGCUUAACCGGGGAACUGCGUCUGAUACUGGAUGGCUUGAGAUUGGGAGAGGGAUGCGGAAUUCCAGGUGUAGCGGUGAAAUGCGUAGAUAUCUGGAGGAACACCGGUGGCGAAGGCGGCUAUCUGGACAGAAACUGACGCUGAGACGCGAAAGCGUGGGGAGCAAACAGG
rnacentral:rRNA from 1 species